UACGUAGGGACCAAGCGUUGUUCGGAUUUACUGGACGUAAAGGGCGCGUAGGCGGCGUGACAAGUCACUUGUGAAAUCUCCGGGCUUAACUCGGAACGGCCAAGUGAAACUGUCAUGCUAGAGUGCAGAAGGGGCAAUCGGAAUUCUUGGUGUAGCGGUGAAAUGCGUAGAUAUCAAGAGGAACACCUGAGGUGAAGACGGGUUGCUGGGCUGACACUGACGCUGAGGCGCGAAAGCCAGGGGAGCAAACGGG
rnacentral:rRNA from 1 species